AUUGAACGCUGGCGGCAGGCCUAACACAUGCAAGUCGAGCGGAUGAAGGGAGCUUGCUCCGGGAUUCAGCGGCGGACGGGUGAGUAAUGCCUAGGAAUCUGCCUGGUAGUGGGGGAUAACGUCCGGAAACGGGCGCUAAUACCGCAUACGUCCUGAGGGAGAAAGUGGGGGAUCUUCGGACAUCACGCUAUCAGAUGAGACUAGGUCGGAUUAGCUAGUUGGUGGGGUAAAGGCCUACCAAGGAGACGAUCCGUAACUGGUCUGAGAGGAUGAUCAGUCACACUGGAAGUUAGACACGGUCCAGACUCCUACGGGAGGCAGCAGUGGGGAAUAUUGGACAAUGGGCGAAAGCCUGAUCCAGCCAUGCCGCGUGUGUGAAGAAGGUCUUCGGAUUGUAAAGCACUUUAAGUUGGGAGGAAGGGCAGUAAGUUAAUACCUUGCUGUUUUGACGUUACCAACAGAAUAAGCACCGGCUAACUUCGUG
rnacentral:rRNA from 1 species